CUGUGAUGUCAAAGAGCUGCCGAUCGGGUCCCCUGGGAAGGGAGAGUAGUAAUAGCCAAGAAGGAGCGGGUGCCCCGUGCCCUGGUGCUGAGCGCAUCCCCGAGAACGAGCGGGUGCCCCGUGCCCUGGUGCUGAGUGCAUCCCUGAGAAGGAGCGGGUGCCCCGUGCCCUGGUGCUGAGUGCAUCCCCGAGAACGAGCGGGUGCCCCGUGCCCUGGUGCUGAGUGCAUCCCCGAGAAGGAGCGGGUGCCCCGUGCCCUGGUGCUGAGCGCAUCCCUGAGAAGGAGCGGGUGCCCUGUGCCCUGGUGCUGAGCGCAUCACUGAGAAGGAGCGGGUGCCCCGUGCCCUGGUGCUGAGCGCAUCACUGAGAAGGAGCGGGUGCCCUGUGCCCUGGUGCUGAGCGCAUCUCCACGACGGCAGGACCUGAUGGAGGGAAGCUGGGGUCAGCAUCGCUGCUCCUGGUCACAGAUCGUAGACAGCACCCCGGUGCAUCUCAUAGCACCUGUGGCCCCUGAAUAGAACUGGGAAAGUGAAUGUUCUGCUUUCUGGGCGGGUUGAUGAUGGGAAACUUGAUCAGCCUCAUUCGCUUGCAGAAUUCCACAGCUCAGAGCAAGCACUCUGUGUUCCUCUGUUCUCUGCUUCCUCACGCUUCGGUGAAUCCUCCAGUCAUUCAGAAUCAGAUGUUGCAUGUCACAGGUUAUGCCUUCUCUUGCUGUCGUCUUUCCCAGUGCUUGGUAAAUGUUGAUUAAAGGAAGGAAGGAAGAAUGGUUAAGAUUGUUUCAAAAGCCUUCAGGGGGUCCUAUCAUGCAGAGAAGGAAAGUCCAGACUCUCUCUGACACAGCUGGAAGAUGUCUGAGAGGCUUUGCGUACCAGGGCAGCCUUGCAAGCUGCUGCUCCCACACAUGCCUCAGCUAUCAGUUUAUUCACCAGCUCCCAAAGUCACCCUGUAACCUGGUGGCUUUACACGUGCUGCUCUUGGCGCUGGAAUGCCUCGGUCCACCUUCCUCAUCCAUCCAAACCUACCUCCCGUGCCCCUCCUGGGAAGGCCCACCUUCUCAUAGCAGGGUGAUGCCGCCUGGUGUGUCUGCAGGAGUCUUCAGGCUCCACUGCGCAGCACUGGCCACUUGUCUGCUUACACAUAAGAACUUCCGUGUUCACAAAGGGUAUGUCUAGCAGACCUUUGAGGAUCACCGACUUUCCGAGUGCUUGUGUAUGCGCAUUUAGUCAUUCUUGGUAGAUAAAAUCCCUUUCAGACCUUUUCACUUUCUUCAUUCACCAGCCUCAGAAAGUAGCUUUAGUUUUAAGACCUCUUUUCAUCUUUCAUGAAGAAAUGAAAUGUCUGCCUCUUCCUGAGGAUUGCCAUUCCUUCGGGAGGGCAGCAGCUGUCUCUCCUCAGGACGUGGAGCUGCUGGGCGGUUUGCUCCCCCACACCAGCCCUGCAGAGCAGUGCAUUCGGCAGCCCCUGCUUCAGCUACUCCAAGGCGAGAGUGGGGGGCCCUCCCCUGCACUGCCUGUCUCUGGUCCCCAUCUGUGUAUGGACACGUCCGUCUCAUACCCUGCACUCUCGCCUCUACAUUCCUGGCACCCAGCAGCGCCAGCCACAAAGAUUUUGAGCCAAUGACAAAGGUUGGGAGCAGCAGAGUUCAUGCAAGGAGUCCACACGAGGGUUCCUCACUUCUGACACCAACAGCACACUGAACGGUUCCCAAGCCAACUUCAGAUUCGCCCUUUCACCGUGACUCACAGAGCUCCCUGGAAGCGGUUACGCUCAUAGUUACGAUUUACUGCAGCAAAAGGAUAUAGGUUAAAAUCAACCAAGAUGUACACACAGGGCAGAGUCCAGGAGGGAAUCGAAUUCAGAGUUCCCACCAGCUCUCCCGUGGAAUCAGAUGUGUUGUGUUCCCAGCACCCACGUGUGGCAGUCAGUGCACAUGGAGUAUCGCCAGCCGGAGGUGCUCUCCCGAGCCUUGGUGUCCAGAGUUUUUCCCGGGGCUCUGACAUGAGCAGGAUUGGUCGGUUGAUUGCUCAGGUACUGCAUGGCCAGCUCCUGCUCUGUAUCCUAUCAUUAGCCAAGGACCAAGGCCAGUCCUCUUUUUGGGCAAGGUUAAAUUCUUGCCUUCCCUCCUAUCACCGUUGCUUCUGGCACCAUUGCCCUGGAGGAGCUCCUGGCACAGUGGUGGGGUCUCAGGCCUCCACCUUACUGUGCGAUGAAGAGCUUGAGGAGAUCGAGAAGGAGACUGGCCUUUCCCACCGUCAGAUCACUCGCCUGUGCAGGCGAUUCAGCAACCUGGACAAAGGAGAGAACAAGAUGAUUUCCAGGGGAUUCCAGAACUUGCGAUCAACCCAGUAGGGAACUGGAUCAUCAAUGCCUUCUUUCCAGAGGGAGAGGACCAGGUAAACUUCCGUGGAUUCCUGCAAACUUUGGCUCAUUUCCGAACCAUUGAGGAUAAUGAAAAGAGCAAAGAUGUGAACGGACCUGAACCACUCAACAGCCGAAGCAACAAACUGCACUUUGCUUUUCGACUAUAUGAUUUGGAUAAAGAUAACAAGAUCUCUCGUGAUGAUGUUAAAGGUGCUAUGCAUGAUGGUCCGAGUACAUAUCUCCGAUGAGCAGCUGGGCAGCAUCGCAGACAGGACCAUUCAGAAGGCUGAUCAGCGUGGGGACAGUGCCAUAUCUUUAUCACAGACUUUGCUAAGGUUUUGGACAAGGUGGAUGUAGAACAGAAAAUGAGCAUCCGAUUUCUUCACUAAAGGACAGACAGCAAACUAUUCCUUGCGGUCUAGUAUUUAAGAACUGGAACUUGACAGUCCUCCUGUCCACCAGCCCUACCUCCACCCCAUCAUUCCCCUUCUCCCAAAGUACCACUGCUGUUGCAUGACAACCCCAAAUAUGUUCUGUCAACACAAACCUGCCUUUGGUCUAUAAACAGGGCAUUACAGAAUGGUACACCCAGUCUGUUUCUGCUCAGUAUCUAUUCACCAGUUCUUCACUUAUAAAUAUUGUCUUCCUCUGUUCUGCUGCUGAAAGCCACACAUCCAUCCAGUCUGAGAAAGUAAGAUAGGAAAUCAUGCCGAGGAACAGGCCAGCAAAGCUCUUCCACUGGAUGUAGGCUGCACCUGCUGCCUUCCCCCCAGUGAGUCUGCCAGCAUGCUUCUCCAUCCUUUUUAUAUGUCCUUCGCUUCCCACUUAUGUGUACGUUCAGCAUACUGUUCACCUAGUCAUGCAGUCUUUCUGCUUUUCGUGAAGCCUCAGAAUCUCCUCUGUUCUACUUGGCACCCCAAGCUAUGCCUGGUAUUGUAUUUCUGACUUGGCACGAUAGUUCAGUGGUCUGGCAGUUUUUAUCUACCUUCGUUAUUUAAUGGGCCUCUGGAAUGUUGCCUCCCCAGGAGCCUUUUGGUAACCAACACUUCUGUCAGGAGUAUGAGAUCAUCCUCUGCACUGUGCUCUGUCAUCAGAGGACUGCUGGGUGGAGAUAUUCGUGAAAGGUGGCCUUGGAGAGAGGAGUGGAGUCAAGCCUUCUGGGUUGCUUGUCCACAUCACUCUACUUCUGGCCUCUGAUUCUCAACUUUGUACCCAUGUGGCGUCUCUUGUUAGUGCAGUGUUGACUAUUCAAAAAGUAGCAAUAUGCCUGCAGGUUUGCUUAGUCUUGGGGCACCAUUACCACCAGAACAGCUGCUCUGACAAUAUGCUUGGGGACUGCCUGAUGGCCUUUUGAACAAGGAGGCUGCGCACCCUGUAAAGCCUCCUGCAUUCACACCUCUGCUGCAUGGCUUAUGCCUCAGUGUUUUGUGCACUGGAAUGAUUUUCACUUGACGUUUCCAAGUUAGAAAGAUUAGUGUUACGGAAGUGCCUAACUUAUCCCAGUCCAAAAUAUUUAAAGAUUGUUCUCUGUGUCUUGAAGUUUCGCACAAAAUUAUUUAUGAAUUUUACACUUGUCAAAUGUUAAUGCUGGAAGCCAUAGUCUGCUCCUGAUACAAGUCCAAAGCAUUGACUGUUGUGUCAUUAGCUCCCUGGUUACAUUGGUUUCCCAGCUCCUUGUGUAGACCACUGUUGAUCCCUUAGAAACAAGAGGUCUGGCACUAGUAGCACAACCUAAGGUGGCAUUCCAAGUCUUUGAACAAGUCAUAGCAGCUUUUCUUGCCAAAGUCAGCUUAGUUUAGACUUCAGUGGUUCAGGCUGUUGCCAUCCUAAUGUAUGUCCCUGUGAGUCUGUUCAUUCACAUGUCUGCCAUUGGCUGACUUGCUUGACUCAUUGCUUGCUUGCUUGUUUCCUUGCUUUGCAAAACUAUUGGAGAUGUGUACAGCAGUCUUUAGGAAGGGGAUUGUUUAAAAAUACCACUGCAAAACGAUGGAAAAGGGUGGAGAACAGGGGAGUAGCCAGGCUGGAUGGCUCAAAUAUAAAUGAAUGAGGAAUUCUUUAUGAAGUACCAGUUGGACUUUGAUGAUCGAGUGAUGUAAUAUAGGAAUUAUAUAGAAAGAGAAGAAUAUCUGAUACUGAUCUGUUAGAUACUUCAGAGACUCCUUGAUUUGCAUAUUUGCAUAAUUAAAAUUAGAGCCUUUCCCUUCUUUUGGCUGCACAGCAGACGGUUUUAAUCCACGGUUGUGCCUUAUUGUUCCAUUAAAAUUGUAUCUUCAGUCCAUCAAUAAAUACUCGUGGUCAAAACAAAGCAAAAAUUCUUUACUGCACACUGAGUACGGGCAGGGCGCUAUCAAUGUGCAUCGAGUGGCCUCGUAAGCUGUGAACAGAGUGGAUGUGGGACAUGGGGUGAAGUCUCUUCUGCCUGAUUUUAAGUCUUUGCAAACUUUUUAGACUGUAAGGAGCUAAACUCAGUCUGCUCGUGAAAAUUGAUGGUGACAUGCCACGUGUGCCCUUCCUG